rnacentral:rRNA from 1 species
GACGAACGCUGGCGGCGCGCUUAACACAUGCAAGUCGAGCGAAGCGGCGGACGGGUGAGUAACACGUGAGUAACCCGCCUUAGACAUUGGGAAAGCCUCGGGAAACCGGGAGUAAUACCAAAUGGUCUAAGAUUGACUCGGGUCCCAGUAGCUAGUUGGUGAGGUAACGGCCCACCAAGGCAACGAUGGGUAGCCGGCCUGAGAGGGUGAACGGCCACAUUGGAACUGAGAAACGUUCCAAGCUCUACGGGAGGCAGCGGUGGGGAAUAUUGCACAAUGGAGGGAACUCUGAUGCAGCGACGCCGCGUGAACGAAGAAGGCUUUCGAGUCGUAAAGUUCUUUUAUAUGGGAAGCGGUACCAUAAGAAAAAGCCCCGGCUAACUACGUGCCAGCCGCCGCGGUAAUUC